ACNAAGCAUUCUCUGUGUCCCACUCUACUCACAUUGAUUUGUGCUUGCAGUGUGGUGCAUAGGGCAUUUGCUUGAUCUCUUGGAUGCGGUGCAUUAUAUAUGGGCAUGAGGUCUCACGUCCUCUUUUUGCCCGAACAAAAGCUUUCAUCGCUUAGUUGCGAACGAUNGCGAUCCCCGUUUCGAGCCUUAUGGCGAGUGCGGUGAUGGCUUCGUUGAGGAAUGCUACCUGGUUGAUCCU
rnacentral:misc_RNA from 1 species